GUUUGCCAUGCCUACUAUGUCUAAGGUGCAUGAGGGACACAUGUAUACCCGAAAAGCAUCUGCUCAAAGAUCCAAGGAGACUCUAUGCACCUGGUCGCCUCUAUCACAUUGUUGAGAGAAAACCUUUCAGGUAUGAUCACACACAAUGAUCUAAGUUCUAUCAAAUAUUUACUCAACUAACACUAUGUUAAGAUGGAGUGAGGAGAAGGGAAAAGAAGUUUUAUCAAAUCAAAGAAAGGGUUAUGGAAUAUAAUGGAAGUAAAAAAUCUCAGCCUCUCUUAUUUGAGAGGAAGUGAGAGAAAGGGAGGUAGGUAAAAUAUUAAAGUUACAAAAAUGUUAUCAUUCUUAACUAAGAUGAAACAGGAUGUAUAAGGAUAACAAAGGUAAUUUGCAAUUUAUGCUUCAACGAUUUAACUUAUCCUUCUUAAACCCCAAAUUGGGGUGUAAGGAUAUAGGUAGAGCAUACAAUUACAGGUUAGUACUGCUGAGAUACUGUUUUCUUUCCUAGUUUUUUGUGGGGAAACAUUAAUAUAUAAUCUGUCAUAGACAUUAGAGAUUUACUUUAACAUGGUAUAUCUAUGAACUAGUAAUGUUUUCAUAUUAGAGAAAUCAUACAACUGUGUCUGAUUGGGUUGGCUGUCAGGGGUAUAGCCUACGAGUGAUUUAGUAAAAACAGGGGAUCAUAUAAUAGUUCCUGGUCUCCACGGGCUCUGCCAUUUAGAUCAGGAAGGAACAAUUAAGUUCAAUAGUUAUUCUGGUCAGUUUUAUCCUGUAAUGAAAAUUUGAGUUAUUACCAUUUUUGGAUGGUCAUGUAUGAAUUUUGUUU
rnacentral:misc_RNA from 1 species